rnacentral:rRNA from 1 species
UACGUAGGGCGCGAGCGUUGUCCGGAAUUAUUGGGCGUAAAGAGCUCGUAGGCGGCCUGUCGCGUCCGCUGUGAAAUCCCGGGGCUUAACCCCGGGCCUGCAGUGGAUACGGGCAGGCUGGAGGCAUGCAGGGGAGAACGGAAUUCCUGGUGUAGCGGUGAAAUGCGCAGAUAUCAGGAGGAACACCGGUGGCGAAGGCGGUUCUCUGGGCAUGUUCUGACGCUGAGGAGCGAAAGUGUGGGGAGCGAACAGG